UAUUUUCGUGACCCGCAAAACCGAUUUAAACCAAAGUUUGGAGGUCACUGUGAGUAGUACUGGCAUUGUAAGAAGCGCAGUGUUCAUUCUUUUUCCCGCCAUGGAAGUUGACGGCGAGCAGAUCCUCCAACGCAAGCACUCUCACUACCAUAACUUGGAUGAAGCGUUUAUGGUGCGAAAUGAGGUGUAUAAAGGGCAACAAUACAGUCAAAUUUACUACGCAAGGCUUCAUUUGUUGAGGACUGUUCUUCAUUCUCUUCUUCCUCACUGGAAAUCCCACAUUCCCGUUCGUAAUAUUUUGGGUCUAGAAGAGGGCAAGGAAUGUAUCCUUGUCGGAACAGUCUUCAAGGACAUGAAACUCAAACCCUGCAUUCUUGAUGAGUAUGCUAAGGAGAGGUCUGUGAUUCCUGUUGUCAAGCCGCACAAUUUUAUGCAUCCUGAUGAUCACCUGAUCCUAGAGGAUGAAAGUGGAAGAGUGAAGCUGGAGGGAGCUACACUUUUUCCAUCUGUUUAUGUGACAGGGGUUGUGGUUGCAUUCCAUGGAAAAGAAUCUGGAGCUGGGUCGUUUCUUGUUCAAGAUAUCCUUGAAGCUGGCUUACCACCGCAGAUCGAGAAGCCUCUAAAGCUUGGUGAUGACAAGUAUGUUGUCUUCGUAGCAGGAUUAAGUGUUGGGAAUAGCACCUCAAACCCUCUCCAGUUCCAGCUGCUUGUGGAUCAUAUAACUGGCCACUUAGGCGACGAAAAUGAACAGAGAAUUGCUGCAGAGAUAGUCCAUGUAGUAAUUGCUGGAAAUUCUCUAGAAUUCGCCAAAGGACAGUUUAAUGGACAGAAUUCGGGAUCUAAUGAUCAAUCUAAACUAUCUGAGCCAUUUAGAGAGCUGGAUGUCUUGCUGACUCAGAUUGCUGCUGGUGUGUCUCUGGAUAUCAUGCCAGGGCCAAAUGAUCCUGCAAAUUUCUAUCUACCACAGCAGCCUUUAAAUAGAUGCCUUUUUCCUGGGUCUUCAGUUUAUAACACCUUCAGGCCUUGUACUAAUCCUCAUUCCUUUGAGCUUGACAGUGUCAGAUUUCUUGGGACAUCAGGGCAGAAUAUUGAUGAUCUUGGAAAGUAUUCUGAAGCUAAAGAUAAACUCGAGUUCUUGGAAAGGACGUUGAGAUGGAGGCAUCUUGCUCCAUCUGCACCCAACACUCUAGGGUGUUAUCCAUUUCCAGACAGGGAUCCUUUUGUAAUUGAGAGCUGUCCUCAUGUUUACUUUGUCGGCAAUCAGGAUACGCACGAAAGCCGUUUAAUCAAAGGACCAGAAGGGCAAAUGACACAACUUAUUACCAUUCCCAAAUUUUGCGAGACAGGAGUUGCUGUGGUGCUUAAUUUGAGAAAUCUGGAGAGCCAUGCUCUGAGUUUUGGAACUCAAUUCAGCUUGUAACUGUGAAUCAUGAGUUUCAGGCUACUUUUAAAAAACCCACAUCAUGGGUUCUACCCAUCAUCAUUUUUCCUGCCAUUCUCUUUCCCAAUUUCAUCCCGUCAUCACAGUUACUUUAGAGUCCAAGAACAUCACACUGGUAGUGGUAUUUCGUCGGAGCAAAUGAGGCUUCUGCCGGUGAAAAUGAAGGUCAUCCAUAAUUGUGAGACGAUAGGAUAGAGGAAGAAGAUUAAUUGAAGAAAUAGGCAGAGAAUUCAAGGCGAAAAACUGAGGGACUUGGGUAAUUCUCUGAGUAGGUCAUGGCUAUAAGUCAUAUAACCAGUUAGAAUUUAGUGGUAAUGUGCAAUAUAUGUGUUGGUUACUUCCAUUUGUAUAAAAAGAACAUGAAAAUAUGGUUGGAUUUUAUGAAAGUAUGUGAAUCUUAUGGAUGUUCAACAGUUGUAGUAUCUCCAUUCCUUAAAGUUCUUUCCGUUUUUGUUCGUUCCUGAUAA